rnacentral:rRNA from 1 species
GACGAACCGUGCAACCGUUGUUCGGAAUCACUGGGCUUAAAGGGCGCGUAGGCGGGCCAGCCAGUCUGUGGUGAAAGCCUCCAGCUUAACUGGAGAAGUGCCGUGGAUACUGCUGGCCUCGAGGAGGGUAGGGGCAUCUGGAACGGUCGGUGGAGCGGUGAAAUGCGUUGAUAUCGACCGGAACUCCGGUGGCGAAGGCGAGGUGCUGGACCCUUUCUGACGCUGAGGCGCGAAAGCCAGGGGAGCAAACGGG